CAGAUACUCUCCCUUUCUGGUGUUUGUUGCUGCCACUGCUUGUUUCUCUUGCUGUUUCUUAUUAAUUAAUUUUCCGAACCAGUUCUAUAAAGUCUCUGUUCUUUGUCACACGUAUCACUGAAGUCUCUGCUUGCUUAGCUUUGUGGUCACCUAAUGAUUCAAAAGACAUUUCCGUAAAUGCCUGGAAGCAAUCAGUCUUCUAGCCUUCGCUGAUGGGUUCUGCAUAUGAGUUCAGGCAUGCCUUCAGGACUCCACCAGGCACUUGGUAAUUCUGCCUUAUCCUUCACUUUUUGCUUGAGCAGCGCCGAAAGGAGGGAAAUUUGGACAUGGACACAUAGGGAAGACAGCCAUGUGGAGACAGAGGCAGAGGUGGACCUGCUGCCGCAAAACCACAGGGCGCCAAGUACUGUGGGCCACUGAGAAAACUAAAGGAGAGGAAGGAUUCUUCCCUGGAGCUUUGGAGAGGGUAAUGAACUGUAACCUCACUGGACGUGUAAACAGACUGUGACCUACCUACUCUUGUGCCAAUCAUGGAGUUUCAGCCAAUCACAGGCGGCCGGCUGUUCAAACCAUGUUUAAAUAAGGCAAACGCAGAGCUGUAAGCAAUCUAGGUGUUUCUGCACCUCUCGUCCAUUUUCUGUAAGUCCUUUUUCUGUUCAUAAAUCUUCUUCCAUCACGUGGCUGUGCUGGAGUCUUUGAACCUACCCUGCCUCGGGAGGCUGCCCCAAUCAGCAAUUUGUUCUUUGCUCAAUUAAACUCUAUUAAUUUAAUUUGCCUAAAAAUUUUUUAACAAUGUUUACUAGUAAAUUUCAUUUUUUCUUGCAAAAAAGAAAAAAUCCUGAAAACAGGAGUAGGGAAAGAUUGAUGGCUAAAAUUAAAUAUGGUUAACUUUAAUAUUUUAACUUAUCACAAGAAAAUUGCAUUGCUUUGGACUAUAAAAGUGAUACAUAAAUCUUUCACUUCAGUAGCGCCAUCACCAUCAUCAAAUAUUUAAAAACUUACAUAUGAAAAGAAAUAUGGUGGGGAGGGAAGUAGACAGAAACAGUUAAGAAACUAGGACAUAAUAAGACAGCAAAAUUCCUGUUGGUUUAUUUUUUGCUUGUUUCCUUGCUUAGUAUUCUCUGAUAGCCAAAGAAUAGACGAAAUAUUCUAAGAGCCAACGAAUAGACAAAAUUGGGCAGCUGCUUCUGGAAUACAAAGGUACAAAUCCUUAGAAAGUUCUUCUGAGCAGAUAAUCUUCCCAGAGCCUUGACACAAAUGUGAUCAUUAGAAUUUUAUUUCUCUGGGUUAAAAGUAACCUCAGGGAAGACAGCACUGUUGAGAGGCAUUUACAUCACUGAAAAUUAUUUUGGCAUAACAUUUUAAAUAUAAAAACCAGCUUGGAAAAUGAGAGACGCUGGAAAAUGCAAAAGCCUGUGUACAUGGGGCCUAUGCUUUAGGUUGGAGAGCCAGGACCCCGGGCGAGAGAGAACAAGCUAAAUGACCUGAGUUAAGUGACUUGGUCACUGCUGCAAACUUUGCUUCCUCAUCCAUUAAUUGAAGAUAACAAAAGUAAGAACCUAUCGCACAGGAUGGCAGGGAGGACUAAAUUAGCACGACAAUGACCAUCAGAAAAUAUGUGCUCAUUACACAUUAACCAUUUCUCUUCCUCUCGUUCCUCUCCUUUACUUCUUCUACCAGCAUCACCUCCAUUGCCACUUCACAACCUCACUACCCCAUUGCUAAUUUUGUCUUAAGGCAUGCUAGAGGUUUAAAUAAUAAUCAAGUAUACUGCUUUUCACUUAUCAUUAGCAAAAGCUUUUGAACAAGCCUAUGAACAAGAAGAAGCUACGUUCUCCCA
rnacentral:lncRNA from 10 species